GCCUUUUUCGCAGUGCUAUGCAAUGGUAAGAGGGUGUUGCUAUACAAAACUUCCAUUGCUAUGAUUUUAUGUUCUUAGUUCACAUUGAUUAGUAUGAUUUGUAAUAUUAAUUGCAAAACUUAAUGGAUAUAGAUUAGAAUACCGCUUAUGUUUAUUAUGGAAUAAAGCUCCCUUAGUAUUCUUAUCCUUCACCCCACUCAACUAGCAAAGAAAAGAAAAGAAAAUGCGUUCCUUCAACCAAGUAUCCAACCCACCAAAAGGAAAAACACAAGGAAAAGAAAAGAAACAAAGAAUGUAUAUAACAUAUCUUAAAUGUUGAAUUUUCAUAGACGGCUAACUGAAUCAUGCUUGACAUGUCUCUCUGGUAAGUUGCUUCACUAAGAGGCAAAGGGAGAGGGGAUAUC
rnacentral:misc_RNA from 1 species